UGGGGAAUAUUGGACAAUGGGGGCAACCCUGAUCCAGCAAUGCCGCGUGUGUGAAGAAGGCCUUCGGGUUGUAAAGCACUUUUAUCGGGAACGAAACAUUGUCGGUGAAUAUCCGGCAAGACUGACGGUACCCGAGGAAUAAGCACCGGCUAACUUCGUGCCAGCAGCCGCGGUAAUACGAAGGGUGCAAGCGUUACUCGGAAUUACUGGGCGUAAAGCGUGCGUAGGUGGUUUUUUAAGUCCGUUGUGAAAGCCCUGGGCUCAACCUGGGAAUGGCAGUGGAUACUGGAAAGCUAGAGUGCGGUAGAGGGUAGUGGAAUUCCCGGUGUAGCAGUGAAAUGCGUAGAGAUCGGGAGGAACACCAGUGGCGAAGGCGGCUACCUGGACCAGCACUGACACUGAGGCACGAAAGCGUGGGGAGCAAACA
rnacentral:rRNA from 1 species